AAAUGACUGUACCCGAAUAAGAAGGUCCGGCUAACUUCGUGCCAGCAGCCGCGGUAAUACGAAGGGACCUAGCGUAGUUCGGAAUUACUGGGCUUAAAGAGUUCGUAGGUGGUUGAAAAAGUUAGUGGUGAAAUCCCAGAGCUUAACUCUGGAACUGCCAUUAAAACUUUUCAGCUAGAGUAUGAUAGAGGAAAGCAGAAUUUCUAGUGUAGAGGUGAAAUUCGUAGAUAUUAGAAAGAAUACCAAUUGCGAAGGCAGCUUUCUGGAUCAUUACUGACACUGAGGAACGAAAGCAUGGGUAGCGAAGAGGAUUAGAUACCCUCGUAGUCCAUGCCGUAAACGAUGUGUGUUAGACGUUGGAAAUUUAUUUUCAGUGUCGCAGCGAAAGCGAUAAACACACCGCCUGGGGAGUACGACCGCAAGGUUAAAACUCAAAUGAAUUGACGGGGACCCGCACAAGUAGUGGAGCAUGUGGUUUAAUUCGAAGAUACGCGCAGAACCUUACCAACACUUGACAUGUUCGUCGCGACUCUAAGAGAUUAGAGUUUUCGGUUCGGCCGGACGAAACACAGGUGCUGCAUGGCUGUCGUCAGCUCGUGUCGUGAGAUGUUGGGUUAAGUCCCGCAACGAGCGCAACCCUCACUUUUAGUUGCCAUCAUUAAGUUGGGCACUCUGAAAGAACUGCCAGUGAUAAGCUGGAGGAAGGUGGGGAUGACGUCAAGUCCUCAUGGCCCUUACGUGUUGGGCUACACACGUGCUACAAUGGUAUCUACAACAGGAAGCAAGACUGCGAAGUUAAGCAAAUCCCUAAAAGAUACCUCAGUUCGGACUGCACUCUGCAACUCGAGUGCAUGAAGCUGGAAUUACUAGUAAUCGUGGAUCAGCGUGCCACGGUGAAUGCGUUCCCGGGUCUUGUACACACCGCCCGUCACACCAUGGGAGUUGGUUCUACCUUAAGGCAAGGUUUUAAAUCCUUGACCACGGUAUAGUCAGCGACUGGGGUG
rnacentral:rRNA from 1 species